CUUGACAUGGGGUUUGAUUCCAGGAACUGUGAGAUCAUGACCUGAGCCAAAAUCAAGAGUCAGAUGCUCAACCGACGGAGCCAUCCAGGUUCCCCUAUUUUAAACUUUUAAGGGUGAAGUUGACAUAAGUGAUGACAAGGUCCAGGGAGUGGGUAGCUUUAUAGAAAAGGUGAGGACAUUGAAUUUGAGGAGGUCAAGCAAUCAAGAGGCCAGGAUAUUAGCUGGGUUAUCCACAUGGAAUUUUAUGUAACCUGGCAUAAAGGUGGGACUUGGGGAAGGGAGAGAAACUGCAAGUCAGGUACCAAAGUCUUUGGAGAAUGAAAGGAAAUGAAUAAGGAUGAAACACAUGGACAGAAAAGGGCCCGAAAGUGGUGCAGUCGGACUGUGUUGAACAUGCAUAAAGAUCAGAGCCCAGGAGUGAGGAAGCCAACUGCUCCUUAUGAUGCCGACUGAGGCUAGUUGGUGGGAAAAGGAUGAUAGAGCCAAGAAUGCUAAAUAUUUAACAUUGCUUAGGAGAGUCUAGUCCAGUGAUAAACUGUCCUAUCCUAACACUGUCUCUGUUGAGGAACACAGCCCCCCAAAUGUUUAGCGUGCUUCCUCAAAGGAACCUGGCUAUCCAAGGUGUCACAGUUCUAUGAAGCCACUCUCCUCCCUCUUAGCAUGCUCUAGACCUCAGAAAGGAUCACCCGUGUCUCUCUCUACCCUGUACAUACUCUCCUCACAGUACAGAUCAUCCUUCAUUGCACUUACAUGUUUAAAUGUCACUCUCAUAUAGAUACUUCCAGGGUUGUUGCAAGAUACAGUGAUCUUUUCAUGUCUGUCUCUCAGCCCUGGGCAGGCAUUCAUAAAUGUCAUUUGUGAAACAAGAGACUUCUCACGGUUACCAAAUUGGGAGGCAGAGCAUAAAAAGAAUUUUCUAUUAAAAUGGGUCAUCAAGCCUUAAGCUUUUGAUUAUAAAGAAUGAUUUUCUGGUGCACCUGGCUGGCUCACUUGGUGGAGCACCUGAGUCUUGGUCUCAGGGUGGUGAGUUCAAGCUUUGCAACAGGUGUAGAGAUUACUUUAAAAAAAAAAAAAAGAUUUUCUAAUAAAUAUUAGAAAGGAGAUGUAAUAUUUCUUCACCAACUUGCACGAUAACAUUUCUGAGCACCCUAUAUUAGAAGAAGUCAUGGUUGAGACCUCAAAGGGAAAAAAAUCAGGAUCUAAAAAAUAAGGUUGUGAACUUGUAAAAUUCUUUACCUUCAAUAUACCAAACUAAAACCGAUAAUGAAUUAGCAACAUUUUAUUUGUAUUCCUUUUCUAAAAACUUUUGAGGAAUUUACUUGCUGUACAGGUUAAAUGUGACGCUUAUAAAUCCACUUUUGCUAUAGGUAAAUAACCUGAGAAUAUUUUAUUUAUUUAUUUUUUAGUUUAUUUAUUUUGAGAAAGAGAGAGGGGGAGAGUACAUGUGCAAACAGGGGAGGGGCAGAUCCCAAGCAGGCUCUACACUAACAGUGCAGGGCUAGAUCCCAUGAACCACGAGAUCAUGACCUGAGCUGAAGUCAAGGUGGGAUGCUCAACCAACUGAGCUACCCAGGCGCCCAACCUGAGAAGGUUUUAAAAUUUUGUUUCUGGGUUACUUUCAAGUGUCCCGUGCCUGAUUUUAUUAUUUUGAUUCACUAAGAUUUUAUACAAAUGUCAAACUUUCUAAAUCAUAUAUAUUUGACAUAAAUUCCUAAACAUGUGGAGAAAAUAUACAAAACAAAAUAAAUGUAUCCUAGGAUUUUAUUCUAGAUGAAGUCACAUGAAGUCAUAAUUGGCAGGUCAGCCUAGUUGGCAGCCCAGGAAAGGGAUAAGCGGCUUACUAGGAUUUAUUUACAGGGAAGCAAAAAGAUUUUGUUUUAAAGAUGGGAAAAUAAUAGAAAUUUUAAAGAAAAACAUUAUUUUGAGGUGGUACAAAGCAUUACCAUUAGGUACUUUAAAAAAUCCUUUAGAGUUUGAAUUCAAAGAACAUAUUUGCUCCAAAUUUAGUGAUAAAUAUCAGUCGUCCUUCAGUUCUUCAAAAUGUACAGGAAUAUUUAAUCAAUAUACAUAAAUUUCUAUAAAAACCUCAUAAAAUUAAUUAUUUUAUUUGAACUCAUAAUGUCCUGUGAGCCCUUAGCCUUAUUCUCCUUAGAGUUUGGGGAUUCAGGAAAAUAGACAUUUAUACAGCCUUUGCAAUGAAUUAAGUGAACACUAUUCCCUCCUCAUUACUGCACAGGGUGUAACUCAUAAAUGAGUAAAAACUGCAUUUUCUAUGAAAAGAUGCCCUGAGAAAAGCAAACCGAUAGUGGAAAUUCAGAGAAGGUAGUGGUUAAUGUUCAUUCAGUAAUAAUAUAAUGUGAUACAGGGUUUCAUUUUAGCGGCAGAGAUUUUAGUAGCUAUGUAAAUUCGACUACCAAGUAUUUGGUCUUUAAAAGUUGGGUAUGCAAGCAUGUAGACUUUCCAGAAUUAUGUGAGGAAAACUGUAGCUAUAGUCAUUUAUAGCUAUAGAAUUAGAGAUUUUGAACAUUCUAGAUCUAUCCAUCAUGAAUAUAAAAUAACUGUCUAUGUCUCAUUUUAGAUAGACCAUUGUGUUUUUUCAGGGUAUGAUAUUUUUGAUUUUCCCAAAUCCUUUUCUGAUGAUAUUUCACAUGUUGUUGGUUUUUCUGGCCACAGCAGAACACUUAGCUGAUUAUCUCCCAAGAACUGUCUACAACUCUAUAAUAAUUCCUGUGUCUCCUUCGUAGUUCUAACUGAAAGUACAGCCGUCAUCAGACAUACUAUAAAUAUAGUUGGGAUAAUCUCUUUAGUUACAUUAUCUUACACUUAGCCACCUCAAAACGCGAACACUUUUCUGCCUGUUCACACAGUUUCAAAAUGUCUUUCAAUUAUAGUUUUUUAGCAUUCGUAACUCAGACACAUUAAAUACUAUUUGUGUAUUUAGAAGGAUGGUAUGGUUAAUCACCUCCAGAAUACUCAUCAAAAUUUAAUGAAGAUAUCAACAUUUUCCCAACUUUUGUUAAAAUAAAAAUCUCUAUAUAUUAACCAAUGUUCCUAUACUUUUGCUAACUAAAAAACAAAAACAAAAACCAGUUUGAUUCCUUGUUUAAAAGUCUAUAUGCCAGCAUUUCAAUUUUUACUAUACCUCUUCAAGGAACAAAAUGUACCACACACUUGAUGACAACCAAUAACAACGCACAGAAAAGAUGUUUGUAAACAAUGACCACUGUUAUUUAUAAGAGUAUUUUCCUGAAUGCAAAAAAUGUUAGCAAAGUAUUUUUUCACUGUUAAUACCACACUAUAUUAUGUCAAAUUCAGGUCAAACACAAUUUUUUAAAAAGCUGUAUUUAUAAUGUGAAGAUUUGCUUAAUUUGUUCAGCAAAUAUUUACUGAGCAUUUACUACCUGCCAGGCAUUGUUCUGGGAAGUGAAGAUUUAGAAAUGAAAAAGACAAGAAUGGUUCCCACUUUUCCAUUACCAAGAAGCUUAUUUUACCUUGGAGCAUUCACAUUAAAAAAUACAUAAACCAGCAGUAAAGUAUUAGAUUGUCAGAGAUGUCACAGAAUUGGGGUUGAAAGGAGCUCAGAGAUCAUCUACUAUGUAUAUAUUACCAAUUCCAAGAAGCACCUUAUUUUACAUUUUGAUGCUGCGAAAACAGCCACAUCUUACAACGUGGUCAGACCAGGCGGUGCUCAAGGGAGAGCUGUCACUGCCUGCACAUGCGUGUCAAAACUCAAGGAACAGGUGUCAGAAGCUUGGAAGACAAUAUGGGAGACAGUGGUGAAGGCAUUCUUAAGGAUUCUUGAUGAUGCAAGAUUCAAUUAAAUACAAUAGUUGAAAGUGUUCGUUUCUUAUAGGAGAGGAAAAUGAAAUUCAGACAGGUUAAAUGACUUGCACUAAUUUACAAAGCAGGGUAGGUAGUAUGAGUCCAGGUUCUGAGUUCUAUUCUUAUUCUUCUACCAAAGUCUUCAGAUAUAUGCAGAGAAAGGCUCUAGAAUAUGGUUCUAGUUUUAGGACCAUGGGCAAGGAACUUUAUCCUCUGACUCAGUUUCUCCAUCUGUAAAAAACAGUUUAACAGACCUAAUUCAUGACAUUGUACUAAGUAAGAUAAUGUACGUACAGGACUUAACAGAGUUUGGCAUACGGUAAGUGCCAAAAACUAUCUGAGAACAAACUUCACAUUUGGUAGGAAAUUUAAAGUGACCAAUUAUCCUACAAAUAUUGCUCACUAUACCAAGCCCACAUCUAGUUAUUUAACUAAAAUACUGAAAAUAAAUAGACUGGUCAAAUAUUUGAGCUGAUUAAUAAAAAAUUUCCACCUUAACAAUGCUUUGUCCAGGUCUAUAUGGUACUAUUCCAAGAACCCAGUAGACUUACCUGCAAAAAACCAUAGAAAAAAUAAGAAUUGACACCAACUAUGAUUAUCAAGUUACUAAGGACUCUGAUAUAUAUGAAUGCAUUUAUAAACACAACCUGAAACAACAUAUAUAUAAACAAGGAAAGAAUAUUCAAAAUGCAUAAACAGUUCAUUUAUUUUUGCUUUCUAUAAAAUAUUAUUACAACCAUAUAUAUUAAUACUUGUACAAGAACCACAAGUUUUGGAGGUUAAAAUGUACCUACCCUAGGAGGACAUGAUUUGGUCAGAAGAGUGAGAGUACUGUUCAUGAUCAAUAUAUUCCUUUAUAUGUUGUAAAGCACUUUCCCAUUCAUUAUCAACUCAGUGCCUUGCAUAUAGUAUAUAAUUGUAAAAAUAAAUCCCAGGUGCUUUCUAAUGCCAUUUGUAUUCUGUUCAAACAAUGGCAUGUUUAGAGAAUGGUUAAAUAUCUACAUUUCUUUUUUAGGUCUUUCUGGUCAGCUCUUCUAAUUUGGGGAGUUUAAGUGAAAAUCUAAAUUAUAACACACCGUGUUAUAUACAGUCAACCUGCCUUACAUGUUAGUUUCUAUAUUUUUGUUAUAAAAAUAACAUUCUAUAUGUAUAUUUCACAUCAUGAGUUUAUUACAUUCUAUAUGUACAUUUCACAUCGUGAGUUCAUUACAUAGUUUCAACUGAGAUUCUGAAUGCAACAGAUAUACAGUUAAGCAGUUAAAAAGUAAUUUUAAUUACUAGGAAAUGUUAACCAAUCAACUCACAUUUGUUCUGGUUUCACCCGGAGACAAAACUGGAGAGAACUAACCUAAACGAAUAUAUCUAUAUUUAGAAUUAUUGUAUUUGCAGAAGCCUCUCGCAAUUAAAGUCUUAUCACGAGGUACAAUUCCGGUGUCUUUGUGUUUCAUCAUGACAACUACGCAGUAGCAAAGUGCAACAAUUUUCUGAAUAUUUUAAAUAUUAUUUUAUUUUCUUAUACCCGUUAGUGUUAAGAAUGCUUUUAAGAAAUCUCACAAGCUCUAAUAUGUUAUCCAACUUUAAACCUUAAAAGAAAAAUAACCCAAUAUUCAACAUGUGAAGUUUCCCUAUUAAUUCUGAAAUUUAAAACUAACAUUAUUAGUUUGCUUAUGUUUGGGAUUUUUAAAGACCAGUCACAUCCCGGAUAUUAUUCGAGGGUCAAAGUCUAAAGCUGAGUAUGGUUGGGUUGGCAGGGAACAGCCCGAUGGCCAAAUGUAAGAGCCCCACGGCAAGGUGCAUGUCGGGCAAAAAGACCAGGAGCAAGACUCCAACGGGCACGGCAGCUCGAGGGCACUUAGUGGGGCGCCCCAAACCUCUGCCGCCCCCAAUUUCCUAGCGUGCCCCGCCUCUCUCCGUCCUCGCCUCCGGCCCGCCCCUUCCUCCCGGGCUAGCCCCCGCAGUGCCCGCCCAACUCCAGGACUACGCGGAGAGACAGAAACCAAAACCCGGCACACACGGAAAGCCUGGGCCUCCUUAAAGCCCCAACUCUGAGCGCUUUCUGGGCAGCUCUCGACUCGAACUCCACUGCGGCCCCUCACUGAUGGCAGCCAUGUUAGUUGCAUCCGGGUAUGUCGAGGAGCCCCGACCAAAGUCUCCCGGAAGUGACGCGAGCGCGGAGGGAUUCGCGUUCGGCUGAGGUGAAGGGGCUCCGGAAGCGGGUGCGGUAGAGACGGUGACAGGAAAGGUUGGGUCUUAUUCACUACCGAGUUCUUGUAUCAAGUUUUAUGUGUCAUGUGUUGUGCUCGACAUCAUCAUUGCCGUGCCAUUUAAAUCCUUUCUUCCCAACAGGCCCAGGAGGAAGAAAUUUUAUCCUUUCCAGUAUGGAGACAUUAAGGGUCGCAGAGGGCAAGUGAAUUGUCUAAGGUCAUUCAGCUUGUAUUGAUCGGAGCUGGUCUGACCCCCUCAGUUUGGCUGCGGAGCCUGUCUUUUAAAUCUCCGUAAUGCCUACGUUUAGCAAAAUCCCAAUCUCUGGUGCUUGCAUCCUGGCAGGUCGCUUCGGCAAGGGCGUUCACCUUCAGCUCGGCAACAUUUGCCCAUGGAAUGGUGCCAAGCCACCGUGGUCUUUGCGGUGGACACAGACCGAACUGUGUGCCGGGGUCACCUAAACUAACCCAGUGCCCUGGGAUCUCACUUGGUCUCCUACCCCUUGAGUCUGCACAUGCAGGGUUCUUGCUGACCUCGACCGCAGGUUAGCUGUGGGGAUUGGGCACUGACUGUUGGAGCUGGGAAACAUUUUAACUCCUGUCGGGCACUUGUAAAGUCCAGACUGUUCAGACCAUUCCAGGCCUGUCAUCAUCGUCCAGUCGGUCUUGAUAAAGGACUGACAGCUAUUAUGUUGGGUUUUCCACCAAAUCAGUUGUUUCUCUUGGUUUCCAUUUCUUUAGAAUAUGACUGAGAACCAGUACUUUGAUCUUAUGUCAACAUUAACUAUAACCAGCUUUCAAAUACUGAAGUGUGAAUAGCCAGUGAGAUCUUUUUUUCUUUUUGCUGUGUGUUGUUUUCUUUUCUUUUUCUUUUUCUUUUACAGAGAGCCCACCAGGUGGGGAAAUAGCCACACACACCCCAACACCUCCUUAGAAUGGGAACUCUGAGACCCCUGGGUGUCAAAGGUCCCAGGGCCACCGUGUCCUCAGGGAAGGACAGAGCCCAGUGCUGGAUAUCAUGGGAGCGAGGCAAUAUUUUUGUAAAAAUAAAUUAUGUAUAGAAAAAAGCACUAAACAAAUACAUCAGAAUUAAGAAUGAUAAUAUUUGAAGAGUGGCCACUUAAUUCUUUUCUUUUCUUUUCUUUUUAUUUUUUAUAUCUGCUACAAUAUCUUUUUAAUAUAGGGAAAUAAACAAAUUGACCGCAGCAAAUCGUUUUUAAUUGCUUGCGAUAAUGAAGACAAAGACAUAUUGCCAGAUUUUGACCAAUGACAGUCCUUGACACAAAUUACAGGAAUUCUGUUUGGAAAAGCAUUGGUUUUUGUCAGGAUGUUAUCAAAAUACAGUUUGGGUAUUGAUGUUUUUCACACACCUUUGUAUAAAAAUAUCCUACAAUCAAAGUUUUUCUUCUAAGAGAAAGAGAAGGAUUUGGGGCACUUGAAAUUCUGGAGAACAAGUGUAAAAAGCUAUUUUUAUUCUGCUUUCUUUGGGGUACAGCUUUAAGCUAUUUAUCAGGUUUAGACUGUGCAAAAUAAAGGUUUCAUUCUCUAUUUCUGUA